UAUUUUGGUAUAUUUGAUCGAUAAGGACUGGAUUUUUUUAUUUAUUUAAUUUUAAGGAAUAAUAGCAAUAGAAAAUAGCAAAAUAGCAAAAAAGCGCUACGGCAGAGAUAUGCGCCUGACCAGACAUAUAUCGCAGCUUUGGCAAAACCGUGUCCCAACCGACAGGCACCUCAACACCUAUUUCUUCUUUGCGGUCGCGCGUCUUGUCCUGGUGUUCGUGCCGCAGCCGGGAUAUGUACAUCCCGACGAGUUUUUCCAGAGCGUGGAAGUGAUGACGGGCGACCACUUCCGGCUGGAGCACACACGCACCUGGGAGUUCAACAACUCGAUGCCGCUGCGGAGUGUCACCCUUCCGUUUGCGCUGCUGCGCGUCCCCUGGAGCUUCUACGAGUUCUGCGCCUUGUACAUGCGGAACUUGUGGAAUGUGGAGCUGAUCAGCACCUACGCCUAUGUGGUGUUUCCGCGGCUGAUCUACACCCUGAUCUCGUACAUCAAUGACUGGUGUCUGUUUCGCGUUUGCCGGCUGUACGGACUGCGCUUUGAGAUACGCCUGCUGGCCAUGGGCAGCUCCUGGGUGCUGCUGGUCUUCGGCACGCGAACCUUCUCCAACAGCCUCGAGAUGGCCAUGUGCUCGUGGCUGCUCUGCUUGGUGGCCGAGUGCAUGCUGAGGACUAACACGGUGGUAUACAAGAAGGAGUUUCUGGAGGAGAAGUACGACAAGGCGGAGUCCAUCAGCGAGCGCGUCAAGAUCUGGAAGCUAAAAAAUGCCCUGCCGUCGCACAACUUCCAGCACAUGUUUGUCGUGUCCAGCAUCUGUGUGGCUGGCGUGUUCAAUCGUCCCACCUUCCUGCUCUUUGGCGCCCCCAUGGUCUUCUUCUGGCUGCUGCGCGGGAUGGGUACACGCAGUGUAACCUUUCGGGACUUUAACCUGCGCAUCGGACUCUUCUGCUUGUGCGCCCUGCCAGCGCUGUUCCUGUUCAUCUUCUGCGACUCGCUGUACUAUCAGCAUCUCACCGUGGGAGAGCUGCACAUGAUGCAGCUGGGCAUCGACAACUUUGUGUUUACGCCCUGGAACUUUGUCAAGUACAACCUGAACUCUGCCCAGACGGCCAGCCAUGGCGUCCAUCCGUGCUAUGUCCACCUAAUGGUCAACAUGCCGCUGCUCUUCAAUGUUCUCGCCCUGGCAGCCUUAGGGGCAUUCGCUCAGAUCCUGCUGCGCUUCUUUCGGGCCGAAUACCAAGUGCUUCCGCGCUUCCAAAGCAUCGUCUCGCUCAUGUCCGGUGCCAUAUUUGUGCCACUCUUUUUCCUGUCGCUCAUCAACCAUCAGGAGCCUCGAUUUCUUAUCCCCAUAACCUUCCCAUUGCUUCUGCUGCAUGCUCCCAAGCUGGUGACUGGCUUCAGUGCCAAGUAUCCCUUCCAGAAGGAGCACCACCUGCUGCGCUGGUUCUACGAUCGCCUGCUCUCCAGCAAAGCGUCAGCGCCUCAUCUGCUGAGGAUUUGGUAUGUGAGCAACGUGGUGUUGACACUCUUCUUUGGCUUCAUUCACCAGGCGGGGAUUUAUCCGCUGGCCGAGCACAUGGCCCAUGUGGUGGCCACCAAGCCAGCGGCCACACACGUUCACCUAAUGACCUCGCACGUUUACAGUCUGCCCCUGCACCUGGUGAACAUUCCCAGCUCCCGAGUGCUCCAAUUCAAUCCGCGCACCCACAGCCGCUAUCGGCGCCAGCGGGACUUCUACCUGUACGAGUACGGGAGCCAGUCCUUGGACAAUCUUUUGCACAAGGUCAAACUCAUCAGCGGCAAUUGCGAGGUCAAGUUAUCCGGACCGAAUCGGCUGCGCUACAAGCUGUACCUGUCCAUUCCCGCCUCCUUGAGCAGCGAUCUCCACGAGGCCUUGGUGCGCUCCAAUGCCAGCAGCUAUCUGAACUUUGAGCUGCUUCACGUGUUCUAUCCACAUCUCUCCACGGAGGCUUUUCCCCGCAUACAGGGCCGCCAUCCCUGCGAUGUGGAUGCACCGCACUGGGCCCACGACGACCUACGGGGCACCUGUGCCGUGGAGCAGCCGCCAGCCCUCAGCUACUUCUACCUCACGAAGCAGUUUAGCUCUUUCGUGCAUCAGUUCGGGCUGGCGCUCUACGAGAUCGAUGUGCGCCGCAAGCGGCCGAGGCAGGUUGUGCGCACCCUAGACCUGGUGACGGCUCCAGCUCCUCCCCUGCCGGAAGCUGGGGCGUAAGAGUACACGUCCAUUGCUGUGCAAAGUGUCCAAGAAGUGCCUUAUGAUAGAGUUGUUGGCUUGGAAAUACUUCAAUUAAUAGUUAAGCUCAGAUCCAGACACAUUCCAUUCUGCAACUUGUACAAAAACGCGUCUCUCGUGAGUGAACCGAGGGAGUUCUAGUCCAUUAAUGCAUAAUCUCUGUUAAUAUUAUGACUAUGUUUGCAUUUGUAAUACCAAAGAAUUAAUCUUAAUCUAUUUGAUAAGUGUGAUGCAUACGCGGGUCAAUCGAUGGUCAAUUAGCCAUGACAAUAAUACUCGGCAGGUUCAGAGUGGAGUGCGUUGGCGCUGCCGGAGGGGGGCAUAAACAGAUGCCAGAAUCGUUCAUUUCAGUUGUCACCCAGUUGGACGCCAAGCGAAAGAGGGAAAGAGUAAUCCAUUUGACACGGCAUCGACUGCUAAUACCCGGCAAACAUCGGACGCUGAGUUGGUUCUGCCACAAAGGUGCGGCGGCAAUGGCAAUGGCAG